rnacentral:rRNA from 1 species
AUUGAACGCUGGCGGCAUGCCUUACACAUGCAAGUCGAACGGUAACGGGCCUUCGGGUGCCGACGAGUGGCGAACGGGUGAGUAAUACAUCGGAACGUGCCCGAUCGUGGGGGAUAACGAGGCGAAAGCUUUGCUAAUACCGCAUACGAUCUACGGAUGAAAGCAGGGGACCGCAGGGCCUUGCGCGGACGGAGCGGCCGAUGGCAGAUUAGGUAGUUGGUGGGAUAAAAGCUUACCAAGCCGACGAUCUGUAGCUGGUCUGAGAGGAUGAUCAGCCACACUGGGACUGAGACACGGCCCAGACUCCUACGGGAGGCAGCAGUGGGGAGUUUUGGACAAUGGGCGCAAGCCUGAUCCAGCCAUGCCGCGUGCAGGAUGAAGGCCUUCGGGUUGUAAACUGCUUUUGUACGGAACGAAAAGCCUUCUUUUAAUACAGGAGGGUCAUGACGGUACCGUAAGAAUAAGCACCGGCUAACUACGUG